rnacentral:rRNA from 1 species
CGAUGAUGCAUAGCCGAGUUGAGAGACUGAUCGGCCACAUUGGGACUGAGACACGGCCCAAACUCCUACGGGAGGCAGCAGUAGGGAAUCUUCCACAAUGGACGCAAGUCUGAUGGAGCAACGCCGCGUGAGUGAAGAAGGGUUUCGGCUCGUAAAGCUCUGUUGUUGGUGAAGAAGACGAGGGGUAGUAACUGUACCUUGUUUGACGGUAAUCAAUUAGAAAGUCACGGCUAACUACGUGCCAGCAGCCGCGGUAAU